rnacentral:rRNA from 1 species
UACUGCAUAGCUAGGGAGUGGGAGAGGUAGACGGUACUCUGUAGGAAGGGGUAAAAUCCUUUGAUCUAUAGAAGACCACCAGUGGCGAAGGCGGUCUACCAGAACACGUCCGACGGUGAGGGAUGAAAGCUGGGGGAGCAAACCGGAUUAGAUACCCGGGUAGUCCCAGCUGUAAACUAUGCAAACUCAGUGAUGCAUUGGCUUGUGGCCAGUGCAGUGCCGCAGAGAAGUCGUUAAGUUUGCCGCCUGGGAAGUACGUACGCAAGUAUGAAACUUAAAGGAAUUGGCGGGGGAGCACCACAAGGGGUGAAGCCUGCGGUUCAAUUGGAGUCAACGCCAGAAAUCUUACCCGGAGAGACAGCAGAAUGAAGGUCAAGCUGAAGACUUUACCAGACAAGCUGAGAAGUGGUGCAUGGCCGUCGCCAGCUCGUGCCGUGA